rnacentral:snoRNA from 1 species
GAUCAAUGAUGAAAACUAGCCAAAUCUGAGCGCAAGGGCAAUAUUUGUCUCUGCCAAUGAUUAUGCUUGAGA